GGUGGUAUGGUCUAGGGGUAGGAUACCACAUUGUGGUGAGCCGUGAAGCAAUUCACGCCUACAAUGCUGUGUUGGCCCCGGUUCGAAUCCGGGUACCGCCA
rnacentral:tRNA from 1 species